rnacentral:rRNA from 1 species
UACGUAGGGGGCUAGCGUUGCUCGGAAUUACUGGGCGUAAAGGGCGCGUAGGCGGCUUGCACCGUCAGAUGUGAAAUUCCUGGGCUUAACCUGGGGGCUGCAUUUGAUACGUGUGGGCUUGAGUGCGGAAGAGGGUCGUGGAAUUCCCAGUGUAGAGGUGAAAUUCGUAGAUAUUGGGAAGAACACCGGUGGCGAAGGCGGCGACCUGGUCCGUGACUGACGCUGAGGCGCGAAAGCGUGGGGAGCAAACAGG